CCACAUUCGUGCAUCAUGUUUCAAAUAACAACGCCGCCACCGUCAACGCACUUUUGAUGUCUAUGUUGUAUAUGUGUGCAUGGGUUAAGUUAGCCAACAAACGAACAAUAACAAUAGCAAGUAGUGGUGUAUUUGCCCCCAAAUAAUUCACAAUAGCCAAUGGGAUUUUUUUGCAUUUCUUUUACUUGCUCAUCCAUGAUAGCAAUCUAUAGUGAUAUGUAAAAAUGACGUAGGGGGUUGUUUUUAACAUUGGUGAGAAAAAAAUUUAAUUUUGCUGUGCCAAUCGACCAUUUUUCUAACACUGAAAAAUUUUGACGUUUGUCAAAAAUCAAAAGGUAAACAACAUGUACGCGCCACAUAAUAAUGCAAGAAAAAACCAGAAAAUAAUAAUUAUUUGCGUAAUGAUAAUUUUUCAAAAAUAAUUUCUAUUACUGCUAGUAAUAGAAAUACGAACGUUGCAGUUUGGAGAUAUUUUAGGUGUUGCUUUGGAAAAGAGGAAAACACGGCGAGUAAGACAAAUUAUGUUAUUUUAAAGACAUCUAUAUUAAUUAUUUCCCAAUUUUAUGAAGUUUUGUACAUGGAACCUGCAAAUGCAAAUUUGCUUAUAUUUUUUUCUAUUGUUUACAUUAAAAUGAUGAAAGAAACUCAUGCCAGGUGCACAAAACUAUUGACGCCGUUAUGGAAAAAUCGCUAAACGGCGGCGUCAUCAUUUCAAUAAACUACAAACACAAUAAUGUACUUUAGUCCAUUAUUAUUAAAUAACUACCUUUUAGAAUUCCGUUGCCAAUAAUAAUAAACAAAAAUUUUAUUUAUUUUUUGCAAAAUAAACGACUGUCUAAAGUUAGUGACGUAUUCCCACUUUUGCUUGCAAAUUUUUUAAAGAGAGUAAAAAGGCUCUUACUCUCCUUCAAAUUUUUUGUGAAAAGUACGCGAACAGAGCUAUUAUUUGCAAAAAUACAAUUUAUUGAAAGUUUUUGUCUACAACAUCGUGGUGUCUUCAACUAGUACUCAUAGAUAUUUUUACAAAUCUAUUUUAUUUGCUCAGUGGGAAUUCCGUGUUGAAACUUCACGAAAAAAAAACUUGUAUAUUUUUACUAUGUAGAGACAGCCAUCGACGCGAGAGCAACAAAUAACCUUUUAAAUAAGACAGCAGCAACAAAAAGUUGGAUAUACCCAUCAAAAUUUCGGUAACUGACCGAUCCAAAGCAGCAGAUUCGUUAUGACGUUUGAGGGGAGUUUUUUGAAAAUUUUAAUUGGGGUGUUGUAACUUUGAACGAUAGCUGAUGGUUGACUCUUGUGGUUUAUCGUUAGCAAUUUGACAUGAGAAAAUAGAUUUAUGGAGAUAUUCACACCUUCUAUUAAAUGCUCUAGUCCCUUAAGUCUGAAACAGUAAACAACAUCAUUAUCGUCAUACAUCUAAAGUUUUAAAACUUAAAAAUACUCAAAAUA